GGCAAAGAGUGAGCUUUGGAGAGAACACAGUAACUAUCAUCGGCUUAACUUCAGAAUGUAACAAAGAUAUCAUACAGGUAAGCACAUCCACUGAAGAGGCAGACUACAUAAAACAGAUUACAGAGACUAAAGACUGAGUUGACAAUGCCUGAAAAACUAUGUACCAAAUGAGCAGUACAGGUCGUUAAAAUUUACAUAUCUAUUAAUAGUAGAGAUUGUAGCCGUAUUAGUCCAGUGAUGUAGAUGUAAAAAACAGAUACAAUUUGUAUCUUGUAAUACCUUUUUUAUUGGACCAACAGAAUUUUUUAAUGAAAAGCUUUCCUCCCUUUCUCAAGUCUGAAGCAUUAUCUAUAAUAAUUAACAAAUCUAUAAAUAAGAUAUCUAUAAUAAGUAACCUAUCUAUAAAUAAGUUAGACAUAUUUGUUUUAAGGUAGAUUUAACCUAGUUAUUUUUAUAUUGCUAAGUUUAUCCUAGUGAGGACCUGAUAUUAUUAUAGAGUUUUCAACCAAUAACUGUGGCAUUGUGAGCUACUGUAAACAGGCGAAUCCAAAUUAAAAAAGGAAAAUCAGUAGUAAACGAAGUUGUCUGAUGGAGAUGAGGUUUUGGAAAAAACAAUGAAAUAAAGUUAAUGGAAAACAACUCAAGUCACACAACAGUAGUGAAAUGUUGAGAGGCAAAAUGCUGUGCACAUUGCAAUUUAUAAAAAAAAAAAAAACAACAAAAAAAACAGACAGGAUCAGGGAUUAGCAAGAAUGGUUUAAGUAUAAGUGUAGUAGAGAACAGAACCAUACAAGUGAUCAGGACUGGUAAGUGGGAAUUUGGUUAUCAACUGAUAAGAAUCUUCUGAUUAAGCAGCCCAUAUGUGUGAUGGAAGUACACCUUAACUUUACAUUAGUACAGACAGUGGCAGAACUGAUGUAGAGAGGGCCAUGCAAAGCUACCAUUUGCCCAUCCUUGCAGGGUUGUAUUUGUAAUGAAAUUGUGGUGAAUCUCCAUUAGGAGAAAGUGUGCUCACUGUCUAGCGCUUAUUAAUGACAUAUAUCAGAGCAGCUCUAAAACACAUGUGUAGGAAUGCCUUCUUGCCCACACCAAAAAAACUUAGUACAAAUAUAUAUCACUUCUUUGUGUCCUGCAGAGUUUGAGGAAUUCAAAGAGGGGGUUAAGUGCCAUUCCUUCAACUUUGGCACUAAGCUAUUUUACCUUAGUGCCAGGAUCUUUAGGCUCUGACUAAUGUGAGCUCAAAAAUCAAAAUGAUUUGUUUUUAAAAUACUACACUAUUGGUUCCCCUUUAUCCUUGUGUUCUAUUUGGAGGUACAACUUUUCAGGAAGAGGGGUGUGUUGCUGCCCUUAAGAGCACAGAGAGUCAAUUACUUGCCAAUUAAUUUAUGUUCCAGCCAAUGUGGGUGUAUCUAGUUAUCAUCUAUUGAUGUAAAUUUUGCCGAUAUAAUCAGCAUUUUUGUUUUUUUGUGUAUUUUCUUUUACAUAUUUGUUACCUAUUUGGGCUACACCCUAAUAUAAGGGUAAGCAAAUCAUUUCACUAUCUGUAUUAUCUACGCGCUCCACCUUUUAAUUAUAAGUUCACCAUUGUACUAUUUGUACAUAAGGUUGCAUUUGUGGUUCAGUGCCUGUGUGUGAAUAUGUCUGCUUUUGCCUGGCGUAUGUGUGUGUGUGAAUGUUUGCAUAUAUGUGUAUAAUGCUGAUGUUUGAAUGCAGGGGUAUGUUUGAGCCUGGUGUUAGUGUUUGAAUGCAUGGGCAUGUGUACUGUUCUUGUGUGCAUGCAGAAGUGUGUUUAUGUACAAUGUAGAUGUUUGAUACCAAGGGUAGGGUUGGUUUUUGUGUAGUGUUGGAAUUUGAAUGCACUGGUAUGUUUAUGUGUAUUAUUUGUAUUUGAAUGCAGUGGUCUGCUUGUGUGUAAUGUUGGUAUGUGCAUGUAGGAACAAAUUCACAACACACAUAUAUAUAUAUAUAUAUAUAUAUAUAUAUAUACACACAUACACAGAUUGGCAAUUACAGAAGCAUGCAAACACUGCCACAUGCAGAUAAAGACACAGAUGGACUCCAAAUGAUAUACACAUAUACUCACUGUCACAUACAAAGGUGUACACAUAUGAACAGAUGCACACAACUCUUCAAACAUUGACACACGUGCACAGAUGCAGACACAGACACACAUGCACAGAUGUCACAUAUGGACACACAUGCACAGACACACACAGAGAUCCUCAAACACUGACACAUAUGUACAAACACAAAUACAUACUCACACUCACAAAUACUUCCUGUAUUCCUGAAGUGUGCAUUUAAAAUAUCGCAGAAUAAACUAUCUACAUCAGGUGAACAGCAAAGGCGCAUAUUUAAAAAAAAGUAAAUUACAAAUGUGACACUGUCAAGUGCAAGUGCAAUAAUUAAAGUGCCCGACUGUUUAAAAUGAAGCAACCAUAAAGAAUUCUAGCAUUCAAUACUUCUCGAAAAAAUGAACAUAAUAUACCCAUAAUCCUUCUGAUUAAUCUCACAGUAAAAGUGCUUUAAUAGUUAUAAUGCAGUUCAGCAGAUUUACUAUAAAAGAAAGUCAACAUCUACAAAUACAUAAUUGAAAAACAUAGUACAAACUGUAUAGUUGCAAUAGUAAAACAUAACAAUGGAGUGUUACUCACAAAAUUAGAGUUGAUAUAGUGCCACUCAUAACUAGGGCUGCCAACUGAAAUUUUGGGGCCAUUAACAGAAAGUCUGGUCCCGCGGGGCCUGUCUCCAAUUCUGCCCACAGGACCAACCCUAGGUCCGCUCACAAGGAUGCAGUGUGUGUGUGUAGAGAUGAUGAAAAUAAUGUAUGUGUAGUGGAUGGAUGCAGUGUGUGCGUAUAGUGGAUGCAAAGAAUGUGUAUGUAGUGGAUGCAGUGUGUGUUUAGUAUAUGUGGCAUCCACUACAUAUACACACUGUGCAGUGUGUGUAUAAUAGAUGUACUGCAGGGGAGGGCUGGCAGCCUCAGGCCUGGGGGGCAAAUCCAGUCAAGUGGCCCAUUGCACCCCCGAAUCAGCUCACCAUCCAUGCCCACCUUUUCCUGGUUUUAUAACGGAUAUUGAUGUUAUGCUAAUCAGUAGCUCUUUGCCAUACCCACUCCUUUGCUGCUCCGACUUUCAAUGUUGCUAGAGCGCAGGCUGAGAAUCUCUGAGCCUGUGCACUGACUCACUAACUGAGCACCGGAACCACGAGGGAGAGGAUCUGAUGUAAGGCACCUACUGCUGGUGUGCACUAGUGGACCACUAGGGAAUCAUUUAAAUUUAAGGGACACUCCAGUGCCAGGAAACAAAUCAUUUUCCUGGCACUGCAGCUCCCCUCUCACUUCCACCCCCCAUCCCAUGUUGCUGAAGGGGCUAGAAACCCUUCAGUGACAUACCUGAGACCAGCGCCGAUGUCCCUCUGUGGUGGUUUACGGUGCGCCAACACUCCUCCCCGGUGAUGUCAUCCGGCGGGGGAGACCGAUUGCGCAUGCGUGGCAGCCGUCUGGGGAGACCUCUCCAUAGGAAAGCAUUGCUUUCCUAUGGGGAUUUUAGCGAGGCUGGAGAGUCCUCACAUAGCGUGAGGAUGUCCAGUGAUGCUAUAGCACAUAAAACCUGUGCUAUAAACCAGGAAGUGCCCUCUAGUGGCUGUCUAGUAGACAGCCACUAGAGGAGGAGUUAACCCUGCAAUGUAAUUAUUGCAGUUUAGGAAAACUGCAAUAUUUACAGUUGCAGGGUUAAUGGUAGUGGGAGUUGGCACCCAGACCACUCCAAUGGGCAGAAGUGGUCUGGGUGCCUGGAGUGUCCCUUUAAUGUGCUGGUGUCCCAAACUUGUGAGUUGUGUUGGCCACCGAGCGCCUCUGUUGUCAUGGCACCCUACGUAACCCCAUAUCUUGCACACCUCAAAGGCUGACCCUGCUGACAGACACACUGGCACUCACUCUCAAUAACACACUCACACACACAAACCCUGACAGACAAACACUCACUGACAGGCAGACACAUACACACUCACAAACACUGACAGACAGACACACACUCACCGACAGACACGCACACACUUACUGACACACACACUUACUUUCAGACACACACACUCACUUCCAGACACACACACUCACACUUUCAGACUCACACACUCAGCUUGCACACCUCAAAGGCUGGCCCUGCUGACAGACACACUGGCACUCACUCUCAAUAACACACACACAAACCCUGAGAGACAAACACUCACUGACAGGCAGACACACACACACACACAAACACUGACAGACAGGCACACACCGACAGACAAACACAUACACUUACUGACAGACACACUUACUUUCAGACACACACUCACACUUCCAGACACACACACUCACUCACUUCAAGACACACACGCACACUCACUUCCAGACACACACACAAACACACACACACUCACUUCCAGACACACACACACAAACACUAACUCACUUCCAGACACACUCACACAUCCAGACACACACACACUCACUUACAGACACACACACACUCACACACUUCCAGACACACACACACUCACUUCCAGACACACACUCACUUCCAGACACAAACACUCACUUCCAGACAUUCACACUUCCAGACACACACACACACACACACACUCACUUCCAGACACACACACACACACUCACUUCCAGACACACACUCACUUCCAGACACACACACUCACACUUCCAAACACACACACACUUCCAGACACACACACACACUCACUUCCAGACACACACACUCACACUUCCAGACACACACACACACACAAAUUCCUCCUACCUUUAGGAGUCCUCUGGGUCCUUUCCCCGUGGUCCAGUGACUUCCUGCUCCUCUCUGCUCCCUCGCGCAGUUUAGAAUGACGUCAUAUUCCGGCUCCGGGCAUCACCAGAGAGGGCACGCGAGGGAGCAGGAAGAUCGUCAGCAGAGGCAGUGCUCCCUCGCCGCUGCCUGCCUCCUUCCUCACACGGCCGGUAUAUUCCUGCAGAGUAGGCACCUGCUGUCUGGGACAAGCAGGUGCCUAAUCUGCCUUGCUACCGGGGCGCCCUAGGUGGCCAGCUGGCCACCUGCUGGGCUCCCUGUAACAGGCCAUCGGCCUGCUCCACGCAGCACCUCCCUUCUCCAGGCACCCAGCGGCCAUUUUGCAAACGAUUUAGGGCAGCCUGGGGGGAAAUUGCCUCCCUGCCCCCCGGCCCAGCCCACCCCUGAUGCAGUGUGUGUAUGUAGUGGAUGGAAGGAGUAUAUAGUUGAUGCAGUGAGUGUUUGUGUAGUGAAGGCAGUGUAUGUGUUUGUGUAAUGGAUGCAGUGUGUGUAGUAGAUGCAGUGUGUGUGUGGUUGAUGCAAUGUGUAUAGUCGAUACAGUGUGUAGUUGAUGCAGUGUGUGUGUUUAAAUAUGGGUACAAUAGGGGCUGCCUUCUGUGGGGAAAAAAAUAUUUUAAUUUUAUUCACUCUCCCUAGCCAUCCAGUGGCAUGCACAUACUUCAGACUGCUGUAUCGUGAAGAAGGGCUCCAGAAAGCACAAUUACAGCUUUUUCUUCUUCUCUCUUUCUUUCUUUCUUUCUUUCUUUCUUUCUUUCUCUCUCUCUCACUCUCCCUCUCUCAAGAGAGAGAGCCAAGCAUGGUUACCAUGCAGAGCAUUGCCAUGGCAACCCCCAUCAACACUCUGACAGCCAAGGGACCCUGGGAUCCUUCUUCACUAUACAUGCAGGCAGUAGCCCGGGGACCCACAGUAACAUAUAUAUAACAAUAAUUGCUCUAUAUUUAAAUGUGCACAUAUUUGUGGGGCAGGAACCAUUACAACCUUAUUGGCUGCAAUGCCCAGGAAAUAUCAGCCCCUUGUGUGGAGUGGAUCAUAAAAAGAACUCCUAACCAGAAGGAAUCACACAACACCUGAUUGGAAAUAAUCUAUUUCAUUUAUUAUUUCCAAUAGAUUAAAAGUAGUAGCACAGGGAAUAGCCACUUAAAAGCUUAAACACUUAAAAAACCCUUAACCCCUUAAGGACGGCAGGCAUUCUAUGCCAUCCUUGGGGAGCUGGCUCUAAACGCUGGCAGCUGGCAUAGCACGUCCCUCCCACUUACCUGCUCCUACGAUCCUACGCCAGCGAUCGUGAUGGGGGGACUUACCUGACAUCCCAGGGAGUACCCCUGCUGCCGAUCAGGCUGAUAGCUUCCAUGCCACGCCGCAUUGAGGCAAUAAUUGCUGCAAAAGGGGCCCAAACCAAAUACUGAGUCCAUAUGUAUGCUUAUAUUUUUCAGAGGUCCGAUAUUGUUCUAUGUACACUCCUUGUUUUAUUGAUUGCAUGUAAUAUUCUAAUUUACUGAGAUUGUGGAUUUGGGGUUUUCAGGAGCCGUAAACCAUAAUCAUCGCACUUAUGACAAAUCACGGCUUGAACUAUCUUGCUUUGCAUGUAAUGCGUCUAUCUCAUAUAUUAGUUUCCUCUUUUACGUUGCAUUACUAAAAUAAAUUAACUUUUGCACGAUAUUCUAAUUUUUUGAGUAUCACCUGUAUAGUGCAAUAUUGCCAAUAUUUUUGUGAAAAUAGUGCUUUAAUUGAAUUCACUCACAUUUAACAGAACCUAACAAGGACAAGCUCUGAUCUCAUAGACCUAAGUGUACUUUGGUGACAUUGCCCCUCUUCAACUGUAUCUUGCCAAACUUUGUGAAAAGAAAAAUGGAGAAAAAAACCCUAAUGCAGUAUGCUAGUUCAAUAUAAUGCAAAAGUAAAAAGUAUUGUAAACUGCUCACCUCUUUUAGAGACUAUGGCACUUGGCUUGAAGUGUAUGGACUCUGGUGUCUAGAAAGGGGACACAAACCCUUCUUUAAAACACUGGACCAAUAUAGCAGAUGCAAUCCACAUUGGGAUUCUAAAAUGUUACCAUUUAUUUAAUCUUAUAUAAAAAGCAAACACUUUAAUAUAUAUUAAAAUAAAGAGACAUGUUUAGCCUAAAAUCAGCUUUCUCAAUCGGUGUAAUCAUCCAUCUGUCCAGCUUCCUAUUUAAAACCCCAUGGGAGAUCUCAAUGGUCACUUAUGCCGCCUUGUAUCCAAUCAGUUCUCUCUCCUAUGAUAUCAUCUCAUUCAGGUGAAAUCUGUUAUAUUAAUAUCAAAGUUGUUUGUGUUUUGAGGGAACACUUUUUAAGAGAUUUUUCUAUUUGUGUGAUAUAUUUUGCACAUUUGGUAUAUAGUGGUUAUUGUUUAUUUGGUUUCACUACUAGUGAUAUAUUGAAAAAUAGUGGGCAUCUUCUGGUAUUGCACUGUCUGCUAUAGCCUUUUUUUCUAAAUAUUUUAAGUUUUACUUUUCCCAUGUUCAUCCUCAAAAACCACACAGUAGGAAGCAUUACAUCCUGCAUAUAUUAUAACACUACUUGAAGAGCCUCUGAUAUUUAUUGGUUGUCUGUAUAACAUACCGUACCAACACUGUAUGAAAACUCAAGGAAAAUAAAUACAUAAAUAAAUAUAUAGAGCAGAAUUAUAACUUAAUAAUUAACCAGCAGGAAAAGCUGCAUAUAUAGUGUCAAUGUAUUCCACUGCGCCUUCAAGGGCACCUAACAUCAUUCAAAACUAAAUAACUAUUCUGCUAGCAGCUCUAGCUAGAGUUAAGAAUAUGGCUCAGUGUUACUUCAGCUAUGCAUGAAUGCCAAGUCAUAACCCAUUACGGAUAAAACUAUAUAUCUUGUUUGUUUCCGGGAUUCCCAAACACGUCAGCAAUUUAUGGUGCUGAAGAGAUAACCUCCUAAUCUAGCCCCAACGCACGUUUCUUCUUUCCCUGAAGAACCUGCUUGGUGAUACAUCGGGGCUAUUGUAUACCCCACCUCCUCUAGAUUUAAAGCUCUUUUGAGCAGGAUCCUCAAACCUAUUGUUCCUGUAAUAUUUUGUAAUUAUCUCAUUUAUUGUUAACUAUCCUCUUUAUAAUAUUUAAAGCUCUUUAGAAUAAGAUGGCACUACAUAAAUGCUAAUAAUAAUAAUAACAUAGCAUUCAGCUUUACAUCUACUAUGUAUUAGAAUGUAUAUAUGCAUGACAUAUUUGCUUCUUUAAAACGGCUAUCCUUUGCUAGAUAUAUUAUGCAGAAAUAUUUUUGUAUGUGAUUGUAUGGUGCCUUUGCUCUCUUUACUCUCUCUUGUGCCUAUGUUAUGCUGACUAUUCUCAACUACCCUGCAUUGUUCAUUUUCAGAUCCAGCUUCUACAACUUACUCUACUCUACUCCUCUCUCUUUAAUACCUAUAUUUCUUCUGUUAAGUUGCAAAAGUUAAGUAAAAUUCAGUAAAAAACCUUAAAAUGUGAAUAUAUUGGAAAAUGGAUAAAUUAAGGCAGGACUACAAAAAAGAUUAAAAUAAAUAAAAAUAAAAUAUAUAUAUAUAUAUAUAUAUAUAUAUUAACCCCUGAAAGUAAGCCAAUGCCAAGGACUUCCUGGCACCAUAGCAAUUUCCUUCUGAUCUUCUUUUGUAUUUUUGAAUGACCAUUAAGGAAUUUUUAUCACCUAAUCACAGUAUUCCUUAAUGGUCAUUCAAAAAUACAAGAGAAGAUCAGAAGGAAAUUGCUAUGGUGCCAGGAAGUCCUUGCACAGGCUUACCUUCAGGUGUUAAACCAUUAACGAAGGUUUAACCUCAAAAUCGUAAGUCAGGCACCAGGCAGCUCUGCCCCUGAGCUUCUAUUGUAGUCCAAGGCUUCAAUUAGGAAGGCAUGCCAUGGAUAGGCUGAGAGCAUCAGUAUAUAAUCAUUCUCAACAUGGAGUGAAACACUUACAUAUUUUUCACACUGUAUUUUGUGACUAGGGAGCUAUUGAAAUUCUUAGACUGUCAGCUGAUACCAGACCUGCGGAUAUCAAUAGAAAUUCAGGGGUAGAACCAACAGGUACUGGACUGAAGACUCUGGAGAGGCAGGAAUCAGGGCCAAAUAGGGUGCACCACACCCAGGUGCCAGAAGUUGGGGUGGGGGGCUCAAGAAGCAGGCAAAUUGCAUGUCACAGAAGGCAAAGAAGAUUGCCCGGCUGGUCACGUUGGGGCGCACAUAAAGUUUCACUUAUUAACCAAGGCAGAGAAGGCACCUGCUUACCUGAAUCCACUGAUAUUGGGGUACUGUGAAGUAGUGGUGGGCAUGUGGCCAUGUGAAUACCCAUUCCUGAGAUAGGUGAUUUUAAGUGUCCUUAUAAAAUGAAAAAUUUUAUUUUUAUGUGUGCGCUGUGCUUUAUCUGUAUUAUGUAUACAUUUUAGCCUCUACGGCAGCACCAUUUAUGUGAAAUUCAUGUUCCGAGUGUGCCCCCAAUUCCCUCUUUCUCUUUACUAUGAACUCCAUAUGUUGUCAUAUAAAAGGAGGGUGGAUGUUCCAUACCUUGAGUGGCUUGGGGUCCACAAGUCACUAGCUUUACCUUAUCAAACAUCCUUUGGCUACAUAACAAAAAAUAAUAGUGAAGCAGGCAAUAAAUCUAAUUAAACAAAUUAUUUAUAUUUACCUUUAGAAUUGUUUUUUUCUUCUAAAAAAUCUUAUUCUUUCUGUGUUUAUUGUAAUCCUGGGAUACCCAAUGCUGUUUUUGAGAAAAUUGCAUUAAGUAAUGAAACGUGUCAGACGUUGCAGCCAACAUAACUUCUGUCUCUGGUUAAAUUGGAGGGCUAACAAUAGGAGAACAUCUGAGACUAUUGAGAUCAGUCUGGGAAGUGAAACAACACAGUGCUAACAAAAACAAGAGAGUGGAUAUACUCAUAGCACAUUAGCCAUGUACGUGUUAGUUAGUGGUUGGGCUUUUUGCUACUUUUUGCAAUUUUUCUGGAGAGUGUGUACUACCGCUCAGUAUAUUUUCAUACAGACUUUAUUUUAAUAUGACUGGGACCUUAGCUUGGAGAAACUGCAUGUCAUAAUUUAUUGCAUCUAUUACUAGAUAUGUAUUCAUAGCCUUACAAGAGGCAUGCUGCUUUUAACGUCAAACUAUAUCCACUAUAUGGUUACUGUAUUUGGUGUUCUGUGUAUUUGUGUGAAGAUUAUUGUGCAGUGUGAUGUGUCUUACUGUUUUAUGUGUCAAUUUUUGAUUUUUAUCCUUUUUAUCCUGAAUUCCUAUAUAUAUAUAUAUGUAUAUAUAUAUAUAUAUAUAUGCACACACACACACACACACGCACACUCUAAUUUUGCUAAAGAGACUUGUAAAGUAGUGAUUUGCAAGCUUCGUUAUCCAAUAUCUAUCUUUAAAACUGGGACAGCGCAUGUAUUCUGUGUCUUUCAAAAUGCUAAUUUUGUGUUUCUCUGCUGACAUGCCUCCUGGUUCAGUGAUCACAUCCCAGUAAGGGUUGUAUAAGCAGCAUUUAGCUGCCAGGCAUAGUCUAACAUUUAGAAACUUACUGUUAGGUUUGACUUGCGUAUUGCUUGAAUGAAAUAAAGGGUAAAAUGACUUGUCAAUUCAGAACUAAAAAAUAUUGAUAAAAGAAGCAUGCAGAAAUUUGAAAUAUAUCAUCUUUAAUAUUAGACAAUUAAUGUAUGUAUAUAGAGUGUAUCUUACCCUAAUACAUUAAUAUUUCAAUUACAAUUUCAAACCAUCAUUAAUAGCAAAAAAAUUAUUAGAUAAUUUUCCAGAUUCAUUCUAUUAAUGGUUCAAUAACCUUAAUAUGAUACUUUGCAACGAACAUACUUCUGUAGAAUUCUUGCUUGAAUAAUCACCAUCUGGCAGUGACUGGAUGGGUCAUGAUUAAGAAGUUUUUAUGUCUUUCAUUUCACAGUUCAAUACAGAGCCUGAAAGAUUCAUAUCAGCCUAUAAAACGUCUAUCUUAUUUAAUACUAAAUUACAGCUUUCAUGAUUGUCAGACGCAUGACACUCUCUUACAGCAUUUGAAGAGAAGAACAGCCCCCAUAGCCACUCCAAUUUUAUAACAUGACAGGAAGCUUCAUAUUUUGCUUAAGUCUUUCUUUACUUCAACUCCACAGCAACACAUUUUACAUAGUAACAGGAUAAACCAAUCAGAAAAAAAGUAACAGGUUACAAAACUCCCUCCCUCAGACGUCACUUCCUCUUUCUUUGCUGUUCCGCACCAGUACAGGUCAGAGUGCCAUUGUCUCCUGUGGUUGUUUAUUCCUCUAUUUUGAUUUCUAUUUCUUGUCAUUCAAUAAUUCUCUAUGUGUUAAUUAGUUAUUUUGGGGAGUCAAGUGGUAUAUUUCCUUCAUCUUCCCUCUUUUCUCUGUGGUAUAUAUAUUUCAUUGCUUUUUUCCUACCCUGUAUACUUCCUCACUACUUCCCGUUAUUUACCUUCUCCUAUCUUUUGCAUCAUUAGCACUAAACUUUCUCUUCUAUCUCCUGUCACCCGGGUUCGCGGCAGGCAUAUUGCUGCCCCGAUUUUACUGGGCUUUCUAGAGGCCGUGGGGAACGCCUCCAACAGCCCCCCGAUUGCACGGCGUCCUUCUUGGAUCUUGCUCACUACCGCAAGAUCCAGACGGUCAUUACAGACCUUGUGCAUGUGCACGAGAUCGCGGCGGCCAUUUUUUUUAGGAGCCCACGAUCAGCGCACAUAUUGGCUGGCAUGGCGGCCAUCUUAGAAUUAGCGUGCGACAUCGCGGCAAUACAACAUAUUUUUUUCUGAAAGCCCGGGAUUUGAACGGGCACCACAUACCCCCCAGCGCGCUCCACACACUCUGUAGAGAAAGAAAUUAAAAGGAGUAAGGUUGCGCCUCAUAUAUAGUGGAAUAUACCAAAAUAUUAACAAGGAUAAAAUACACAAUAAAACAUAUAAAAUACAAAUAAGAUAGUAAAAAAAGAAUAAAAAAGUCUUAAAAGGAACAGCCAAACUGGAUAAAAUUAGAUGUUCUUGACGGUUGGGUUCUUGUAAUUCCAGAGAUACAUGUAAGACAUAAGAAGAAAGACUCCAAUGGUACAGUAUAUAGUGAGGUAUGUACACAGUACUGUAUGGGUAUUAUUCUACUCACAUUUACCAAAGCUAUAUCCAGCUCUGGUGUGUAUAGCGUGAAGUGGAAUGAUCCCCACUUCAAAGAUAUGUGUGGUAGAUAGUUUCUCCAGAUGUUUCCAAUGUUAACAAUUCCGGACCGAGAAAGUAGAGAAUAGCAAAUAUAGUGCUUACUAUAUCCAACAAUAUUAAAAAUGAUUUUCAGUAGAGGAAAUGUACUCACAUUUCUUUGAGCAGGCUUACUGCUUGAUAAAUAGGGCGCUGGUAGUAUAUUCCCCACAUAGGAUUCUUUAGUCCUUGCUUGAGAUGGUAAAAUCAGGAUUCCAAGUAUAGAGGAUAUUAAAAGAUUUCUUUAUUGGUACAGAAAUUAUAAAAUAUAUCUACAAUUGUUAUGCCUUGCAAGGCUUUAUCAAGUAGAUAAAAUCAGAUAAAAUAAUCAACCUGGCAUCUCUUGGUUUAUAUAGGAGACUAAUGACAUACAAAUUGUUUGAAUUUGACGCCAAAAUGACGUCAUGUGGGCGGGUCAAUAACAAUAUUUUGGUAAUAAAUAUAAAUAAGCAUACAAACAUUUCUUUCAUAAAUAGCCUACUUGGUAAUCCUAUGUAAUUGACUGUAUAUGUAAAAACGAGGCUUAUUUUGAAAGUUACAUCGUUUUUUUAGUGCGUCACGUGACGUUCGGCACUAUUUCCGCAUCAGGUGGUACGCGAUGUGACUUCUGCAUCAUGUGAUGCACUGUGUGCGCAUGUGUGGGGCAUAAUCUUGUCUACACAUGCCUUAAGACGUAUGGGAGGGGAGUGUGGAUAUCGCCCCGCCUUCAAUAACAGUGAUCGAUGUCAUUCGGAUGAAUGGCUAUUUACUUCCGCUUCAAGUGAGCGGACUUCAGAAGAAGAGAGAGAUUUAAUAUCAUCUCUCUGUUCUUACGGAUGUAGCUUGUAGCUGUAACGAAAACCAAACAUGAGGGCAUAUAUAUAUAUAUAUAUAUAUAUAUAUAUAUAUAUCUGCAUGACUAGUAUAAUGACUUUGCACGACAGUAUAUACACACAUUGGUAAUUGUUAAGGAUAAAACCAUAAAAAGAAAAAGAUAGGCCCUAACUGAAAAAAAUGAACUUAGGUAAGUAUAUAUGGAAAGGGGCACUAAUAAUAAAGCCGCUAAUUGCUAAAAGAUAAAUAGUGAUAUAUAUAUAUAAAAAAUAAAUAUAAAGUAUAAAAAAAUAAUAAGAAUGAAAAAUGAAAAAUAUAAUAAAAUAAAAAAAUUGUUGUGGUGGUAAGUAUGAAAACUGAAAAUAAGAAAAAUUAAAAUAAGAAAUAAGAAUACAAAUAUUUUAUAAAGAUAAAGUGAAAUAAAAUAAAAUGAGAAUAGAAAUAGGAAUAGAUAAAAAAUGUGGAUGAGUAAAGAAGUAAAAGUAAAUAAAAAUAAAAUAGAAUACUGAGAAGUAAAAAUUGGAAGACCCAUAUAAAUUCAUAAAUUGUACAAAAAUAAAUCAAUAAGAAAAAAUAAUAAUAUGAAAAAAUAAUAAAAUGGAUAUGAAUAAAAAUGCAAAAUAGAUAUAAAUAAAGGUGAAGAUAGAGAGGGACAUAGAGAUAUAGUUGAAAAUAAAAAUAGAAUGCAAUGAAAAAUAAAAAUGAGGUAGAUGUAAAAAUAAAAAAUAUAUAUAAAAAUAGAGAGAUACGUGUGAAUGUAAAUAAAAAUAAAAGUAAAAAAUAAAAUAAAAAUAGAAAUAGAAAUAAAAGAGAAGAAAUAGACAAUGAAUAAUGAGCAGAGAAUAAAUAUAGAGAAUGAUAAAAGACAAAAAUAGAUACAAGAUGGAGGAAAAAUAAAAAGUGAGUAACCUGAAAAAGGGGGAAUAUUAUUAAAAAUUAUAAAGGUCUAAGUCCAUACUGUGUUUUAAAUUAAAAACCCAUUCCAUCUUUGUAAUACCAGAGAUUUUCUCUCCAUGGGAUAUUGCACUCAUUUAUUCCAACACAUUUUAAAAAUUUGGGGGUUUUCUCAUGUGUAAUAAAGUGUUUAGAUACUGAAUGGUUCUUGUAUCCUUUGAUUAUAUUACGGCAGUGCUCUGCCAACCUUAUUUUUAAACAGCGAAUAGUCAUUCCCACAUAUUGUAGCCCAGAUAGGCAUUCUAAUAGAUAUAUUACAUUCUUAGUGUUACAAUUUAUGAAAUCUUUAAUUUCAUAGGAUCUAUUAGUGAUUGUGGAUUUGAAGUGUGAGGUUUUUGAUUUAACAUCACAAUUGGUACUUCUACAUACUAUACGCUUAUUGCAUUUAAAAAAAGCUCUUAGGUUGCGUUAAAAAGGAGGGGGAGGGCUUGGUAGUACAUAUUUUUGUAAAAUAUUUUGUGAGUAUAGCUUUAAAAUUCGGUGCCCCCCUAAAAACAAUAUUAGGUUUGUCUGGAAUUAUGAUUUUUAAAAUUUCAUCUUGUUUUAAUAUGUGCCAAUGCUUGUUAAUUUUUCUUAAUUAAUUAAAUUUAAUAUGUGCCAAUGCUUGUUAAUUUUUCUUAAUUAAUUAAAAUCAAAGAUAACUGGCAAUGAGAUAGAAUUGUCAGUGUUUUUAUUUUUAUAUUCUAGAAGUUCAGAUCUAUUUGUAUUUUUGAUAAUUGUUAUGUUCUCGUCUAGAUUUUUCUUAUGGUAUUUCUUUUCAAUGAAUUUGUUUUUAAGGACCACUAUAGUGCCAGGAAAACAUACUCGUUUUCCUGGCACUAUAGUGCCCUGAGGGUGCCCCCACCCUCAGGGUCAUCAAAAUCUUGCAGAUUUGAACAGUUUCUUUUUAAACGAAGAAACUGGCUUUUUGGAAUGCAGUUUCUCUGAAACUGCUAUAAUUAUGAAAAAAUGGGUUAACCCUAGAAGGACCUGGCACCCAGACCACUUCAUUAAGCUGAAGUGGUCUGGGUGCCUAGAGUGGUCCUUUAAGUAUUUCAGAUUGGUCAUCAAAAUCUUGCAGAUUUGAACAGUUUCUUUUUAAACGAAGAAACUGGCUUUUUGGAAUGCCAUGUAGCUAAGGCUUGUGGUGACAACUAGAUAUAUCUAUUACAUUAUUGCUGCAAGCUUUUUUGAAAAAUGUUUUUGUAUUUAUUUUAUUUUCGUUUAUAAAAAUUUUUAAGUUAAGGAAGUUAAUGAAAGUCUUACUGUAUUCCCAUGUUAACACAAUGCCGUUGUUAUUAAUAUUGAUCACUACGCAUAGAAUGUGGCAGAGGCAUGAGUGAUGCCCACCGAUUAUCAAAGAUAAAGAACACAGUAAUGAACAGUUAAAUCCGAGCUGCAGGGUAUCCUUACUGUAGUUCCAACAGUGUAACAAGCAGGUAGAGAAAAAAUGGAGUUCUGCACAUCAAGUAGGUAGUGCACACCGAGGUGCUACUGCAGUUUAUUAGAGGACACAAUAUAAACAAACGUUUCGGGCAACAAGCCCUUCCUCAGUGCUAAUGCCCUAAACAAUACAAGCAGUACAGACAAUAUAUACAAGUGAAAGAAAUGCUUAAGAAGUGCCACCCACCAGCAAUGAUUCAAAUUAACAGCAGCUGAAACUGACAAUCUCCAUGUUUCCAGCAUGUUCAUAGUCUCUAGUCACUUCCUGGUUCAGUUGGUCUGUGUGUGAUGAUGUCAGCAGACACGCCCAUUGUGUGUGACAUCAUCACAUGCCAUUGCUAGGAAACGGAGCAGUAAACGGGAAACUGUCUGUAUAGUAAUGCAAAUAGAGCACAAGCUUAUAAUACUAGCAGGAAAAAAUGAAACACUCAUUAAAAUGAACAAGAGCAAGCAGUAAAUUGUAAAUAAGGAGCAUAAAGCUCCAGAAAAGCUUAUGGGGACUUGGGAAAUUGCCAGACAGCCACACAUUAAAGAAGAAUACAAGUCAAAGUACAGAAAAAAAUGUGAAACUGUCAGAAUGACAGGUGAAACCAAAUAAAAAAAAAGGUAGGUAAAACCUCUUUAAAUCUAGCACCCCCAAAAAAGUGGAGGAGAGUAUACAGUGUGCCAGGUGAAAAUGGAACUAUCUUCAGAGAGAGACUAGGGACGUAAUAAAAAAGGAUCAUGCAAAUACAAGGUAAUAUAAGAAAAUAUAUGUAUACAUACCCAGAUCCAGGAGACCUCCCGAAGCGGGCACAAGCUGGAUGCAUCUACAGGAACCAAUACCACUCAAGCUUCUCAUUGAGACCAUGAGGGGACACUGUGUCCAGGAGGUGCAUCCAGUGCACCUCUUUUUGGAGGAGCAUCUUUUCCCUAUUACCUCCUCUCGUAAGUGGAGGGACCCUAUCAAGUACUUGAUACCGUAGUUGUGACACAUUAUGUCUCUUUUCCCUAAAAUCUCUUGCAACAGGUGCAUCAGAGGUCAUGUUAUCAAGUUGUUUUGUGUUGGGAUACCUGAUCUUGAUAAACAAAAACAAAAAAGACCCAUUGUGGUAUAAGUCAGGUGUCCUCUUUGACUUGGUCGUAUUGCGGAAUUUAGUGUCUCUAUUAAGAGGAAUGGGGACAGCGAGUGUUAGUGUGUCCCAGACUGGCAAACUCAGGUGGGUGGUAUGCUCUUUUCUAGCCCAUUUAACCCCUGGGCCAGAGAAAAGGGGGUGGGGAACAGUGGCGAAUACCUUCUUCCAGUCUGAGGGAGGUUAACGAGCGUCAUAUGCUCUACGUGUGAGUGGGGAUGCAGGUUUAAGUGCCUUGUGUGGAGUGGGCAGCCAGAUUGCAUGAGUCCUGAACUGGGCCUGUGAUAGGCUGUCUCUUAUAAAGUCAGGUCUUGGCUCUGUCCUGUGAGCCCUGGGCGACCUGUCUGGGCACAAAUUCCGCUGAAGUUUCUGGGUUCCAUCCGUGUGUUGGUCGCAGUGCUGCCUCCGGUGCAUCGAUGUUGAGGAGGUGUUGGGGAAUGCACAGUUGCUGCAGGGUCGUUGCGGCUUCCCGGAGGUGUCAGAUGAUGUGGGUUGUAGUCCCGUGGGCAAUUGACAGGGCACGUGAAGGGCGCCAUCUUGCAUAAAAAGUCAAGGACAUGUCUUCAAAGGAGUAAGGUGAAUUGCCGCGCAGUGCAUUUAGGAGGGCUGCUUUGUCUCUUCCUCUAACGAAUUGUAUGAUCAAGUCCCUCGUGGCCGAGGUUGGUGCCUGGGCAGGUUUAGGCACUCUGAAUAUGCCCUCCGUCUCUAGCAUUUUGGACAUUUUGGGAGUGAGCAGGGCCGAUAGUAGGCUCCUCACCACAUGCGGGAGCUCCGCGGCGGGUACGUUGUCAGGGAUCCCCCUGACCUUUAUGUUGUUCUGCCGGCAGGAGUCUUCAAGGGCAGCAAAGCGGCCUUCAUAGGAGCCGUUUAGUUUUCGCAGGUCUUGGACCUCUUGCUGGAGGGUGGUGAUCUGCUUUUUGGAUGAGAGUGAGGUGGUUUCCAGGGCUCCUAUCAAGUCCUGGCGGAUCGUGGCCAUGUCUGACUGGAGGUUCUUUUGUAAAUCUACCAGUAGCUCUUUCAGGAGUGCAGCCGUCACCGGAGCUGAGUCUGGCUUUGUCAUCGGGAUCAGCGGUGGGGGAAGCACCGGAGCUCGUGUGUAUCCCUCAUUGGUUCCACAGUCUUCCGAGAGGUACGAGCAAUCCCCAGUAAUGGCCGCCAUCCCGGGCCCUUGAGCGCCACGAGCCUGCCGCCACAUCUCUCCUAUGUUCAUGCCCAUUCGGGGCGCUUCUUGCCUCGCUUUUUUCGGUUUUUUUCCCCAUCUGGGCUUAAGGCUCCAGGGAGAGCUGUCGGGCCCUGUUGGUCCGGUCUGGGUAUCGGAAAAUAGGGCAUUUAUCAGCCUUGCGGUCCGGAGCUCCAGAGACAUGCGACUGUUCACUUUGGCAGUCAGUCUCCGCCCCCCUAUUUAUUUGUAUUUCUAUUUUUAUUUAUUUUUUUACUUUUAUUUACAUUCACAUAUAUCUCUAUUUUUAGAUUUAUUUAUUUUUAUUUUUACAUCUACCUAAUUUUUACUUUUCAUUGCAUUCUAUUUUUAUUUUCAUCUAUAUCUCUAUUUCCCUCUGUAUCUUCACCUUUAUUUAUAUCUAUUUUGCAUUUUUAUUCCAAUCCAUUUUAUUAUUAUUUCUUAUUUAUUUAUUUUUGUCCAAUUUUUGGAUUUAUAUUGGUCUUCAAAUUUUACUUUUCAGUAUACUAUUUUAUUUUUAUUAACUUUUACUUCUUUACUCAUCCAAAUUUUUAACUAUUCCUAUUGCUAUAUUCUCGUUUUAUUUUAUUUCACUUUAUCUUUAUAAAAUAUUUUUAUUCUUAUUUCUUAUUUUAAUUUUUCUUAUUUUCAGUUUUCACUUAUCACCACAACUAUUUUUUUAUUUUAUCAUAUUUUUAAUAUUUUAUAUUUAUUUUUUUAUAUUUAUAUCACUAUUUAUCUUUUAGCAAUUUGCAGCUUUAUUAUUAGUGCCCCUUUCCAUAAAUACUUACCUAAGUAAAUUUUUUUAUUCAGUUAGGGUCUAUCUUUUUCAAACUAGUUUUAUGGUUUUAUCCUUAACAAUUACCAAUGUGUGUAUAUACCAUCAUGCAGAGUUAUUAUACUAGUCAUGCAGAUAUAUAUAUAUAUAUAUAUAUAUAUAUAUAUAUAUAUGCCCUCAUGUGUGUUUUUCAUUACAGCUACAAGCUACACCCGUAAGAACAGAGAGAUGAUAUUACAUCUCUCUCUCCUUCUUAAGUCCACUCACUUGUAGCAGAAGUAAAUAGCCAUUCAUCCGAAUUACGUCGAUCACUGCGUGUUAUUGAGGGUGCGGCGAUAUCCACACUCCCCUCCCAUACGUCUUAAGGCAUGCGUAAACAAGAUUAUGCCCCACACAUGCGUACACAGUGCAUCACGUGAUGCAGAAAUAGUGCCGAACGUCACGUGACGCACUAAAAAAAGUUGUAACUUUCAAAAUAAGCCUCGUUUUUACAUAAACAGUCAAUUACAUAGGAGUACCAAGUUGUCACAUUUUGUUCCUCGCUGCGGAUCUUUCCUGCAUUGGCUUCUGGUAUCCAGUACUGUUUUUGCUAUCCUUGCUUGGUUUUUCUGGUUUUCUAGUCUAUGUCUGGUUUUCGUUAUUGCUGGGUUUCUGGGUUCAUUCUUAUAUUCUGUCCCUGGAUUUCCCAGUCUUUUGGAUUCACUUAAAUGUUUGUUUAAUAUUGCCACACCCGCUUAUUUCCAUUUACCCUUUUGUUUCAGCCUGGACCUGCAGCAGUAUUUCAUCUCUCUGCCCUUUCUUGCAGGUAAGUGCUAUUGUGGUAUAGUGUGGUUGUUUUAGUGUACAUUAGGCAGUGUAGGACCUGCCAGAUAUGGGGUACAUUGGCGUUGUUGGCAGGCUUGUGCAAUGUAUGAUCAUAUAAUGUAACUAAAUCCCCAUACUUUUCAUAAUUAGUGCUUAGCUAUGUUUCCUCUUGUUUUACCUAGUAUCUCUUGUCUUGUUUUACUUUGUCUUGUAAUCCCAGUCCUUGUACAGUCCUGUUCAGUCAUGCCCAUGUUAUGUUCUUGUUUUCUUCAUGUCUUGUGUACAUGUUUUACGUUAUGCUUUCUGUCCUGCUCUGGUUCUGGGUUCUCCUAGUUUUGUCUUGUUUUCAUGUAUCAUGUCUUUUUCUAGUCUUGCUCCCUUAGUUUUAUCUUGGUUUUUUUGCAUGGUGCCUAUCUCUAGUCUUUCCUUGUUCUCCUAGUUUGGUCUUGUUUUCUUGUAUGGUGUCUUGCUCUCCUAGUUCUGUCUUGAUUCAGUACUGGAUACAUCCCUUCUGCAGAGCCUCCCUAUUCAUCUCCUGGGAGGUCUGCUUAAUUGUCUGCUCCUAGUUCCUGGGAUCCGCAUAAGCUGAUUCAGGGUUCUGGUAUGUGGCUGCACAAAUGUUGGUGCUCUACACCACGGGGUGUGCGGUUGCCCUGCACCAGACCUUGCUAAUCCAUCUCCACACUGUGACUCCAACUCUCAACAUCAGGCAUAAUGGGUCCCGGUCCACGCCCCGCCCCGCCGCCUGGACAGUGUCUGGGUCCCGGGCACCGGACCGCCACCCGUGACACAAGUAGGCUAUUUAUGAAAGAAAUGUGUGUAUGCUUGUUUAUAUUUUUUACCAAAAUAUUGUUAUUGACCCGCAAACAAACGUCAUUUUGGUGCCAAAUUCGAACAAUUUGUAUGUCAUUAGUCCCCGAUAUAAACCAAGAGAUGCCAGGUUGAUUAUUUUAUCUGAUUUUAUCUACUUGAUAAAGCCUUGAUAAUAUAAUUAAAUAAUAUAAUUGUCUGUCUGAAUCUCAGAUGGCAGUCCAUAAGAAAUCACAAGAGUCUGUAGCAUCUGAAAUGUUGAGGCUUGGUUCGCAUGCUUGCAGGGUAAUACUUUCAGUAUUCCAGAAAAGGUGUCUACAGCAGUACAAGAAUACAUCAGCCCUCCUCUUCCUUUUGGCAUGGGACCAAUGUAGUCCAUCUGCCAGAUCUGUCCAGCUAUUGUUGCUCUAUUUAAAUGCCCACGGGUUUGCUUUGUGAGGGGACAUUUCUUAACCUUGUUGCGGGUCUCACAUACUUCUUGUGCUUGGACAAUCAUCUGGAGAGUUAUUGGUAGUCCUCGGGUUCAUGCCCACUCUAGCAUAGAUGCUUUUCCUCUAUGACCCUCGGUCUCAUGGGCCCAGUCUGCCAUCCUAAGUAAUACUGGAUCAAUAGGAUCUGGUGUUAUUUUUGCUUCUCCUAUUUGGGUCAAUUCAUCAGCUAUCUUAUUCAUGUUCUCUUCUAUGGUACUGUCUUUUUCACAUGGGCAUCAACAUGUCCGAGGUGCAUCAAUCUUGAUUGAGCUGUUUUACAUAUAUUUCCCCAUAGAUCUAAUCCUCCCCAUACUGUCUUUCCAUGCAUUUGCCACCUGUUGAUUCUCUAGGUAGGCAUAUAUGUAACACAAGCCUUGUACACAGCCCUGCUAUCUGUAUAGAUGUAGAGCUCUGGAUCUGUGGUUUCCUCCAUCAGUAUGACUAUGGCAGUCAAUUCAGCAUAUUGACUAAAUCCUCCUAUUCCCUUCUCUUGAAUCACAAUUUGUUGCUGAGGAUUGUAAGCUACUGCAGUCCAAUGUCAUCCUUUGCGUGUCAUGAUUGCAGACCCAUCUGUGAACCAUGCGUUUUUCUUUGGUUCUUCACUCAGUUCUCCAAACGAAGGAGCUGUCUGGAUGGGAGAGGGCUAAAAAAUUGCAACUUUUUGUACAUUGGGAUGGGAAAGUGUAUCACAUGUCACUAACCCAGUAAAGAGUCUAUUCAGUUCCUUAACUUCACCUGCUUGGAUCCCUCCUCUUUCCUGCAGGUACCACUUCCAUUUCAAUAAUGUCUGACUUUGUGCCACUGUUGUCUUUGCAGGUAAUCCUUCCUCUCAUACCAAUCCUGCUAUUGGUAAAUCUGUUUUCACUGAUACUAUGUUUUUCUCAGUCAUUGUCUCCACAUGCUGUAGUGCGAGGUAUACUGCCAGAAGAUUAUUUUCCAAAGGUGUGUACCUUUGCUGAGCCCCAGUCAAUUGCUUGGACCAAAACCCAAUUGGUACUGCCCGCUUGAUUUUGUCUUUGCUUGGUUGCCAUAGCCCCCAUGAUGCUACAUUGUUGUAAAUCAUCACAUCCAAUAUGAACGGAGCUCCAAUUCAAAUCAGGCCCAAGCCCUGAUGCUGUAAUACUGCUUCCUUUGCUACUUGGAAUGCUGUAGUUUGAUCAAUUCCCCAUAAAAAUGCUGAUUUCUUUCUUGAAACAUUGUAUAUGGGGCAUAGCAGCCAUCCUAGAUGACGUAUAAAUGCUCUCCAGUAACCCAAUUGGCUUCUGUUAACGUCUUAGGUUCUGGAGAAUUCUGGAUUGUAUCCAGCACAGGCUGAGGUAUCUUCCGAACAGGCCCAGACCUCAUAAUUCCUAGAAAUUUAACUUCUUGGGUUGGAUCUUAAAUCUUGUCAUCCCCAUCCACAGUGGUGUAUCCUGGUUUUGUGCUGCCAUAGGCAGGACAAAACUCAGACGCCACACCCACCCACCCAACCCUCCCCCCCUGCCCUGCCUUGCUUUCUAAAUACACACACACACACACACACACACACAUUCACUGACAGAUACGCACACACUCACUAAGACACACUCACUAACAGACACACACACACACACUCACUAACAGACACACUCACUCACAUUAACACACUCACUUUUUUUUUUUUUUUACUUAACCCCUAGCCUCCUUACCUUUGGGAAUGCUGGGGGGGUUCUCUUUCUCCCUGUGGUUUAGUGGGGCUACUGGGCGGGCGGGCAACUGGUGAGGGAGCACUUUCCCCUGAGCUGUCUGCUCAGCUCCCUCGUGUGCCGCAGAGUGAUGCCGGGAGCUGGAAUAUGAUGUCAUAUUCCGGCUCCCAGCAUCACUCCGCGGCACGCAAGGGAGCUGAGCAGACAGCUCAGGGGAAAGGGCUCCCUCGCCAGCUGCCCACCAGCCAAAAUGCCGCCCAAGGUAAAUGCCUCGCCGCUAAAAACGUCCCUGUCUGUCCAGUCAUGUAAUUCACUAGAACAGGUAAUGCUUCUUUCACUUCCUCUUUAGAUCCAGAGAUCAUGUCAUCAAUGUAGUGAAAUACUGGAAGCUGUAGAGUGAGGUGGCUUAAAUCUCAUGCAACUAGUCCAUGGCAAAUCAUAGGGGAUUGUAUAUAUCCCUGGGGCACAACUUGGAAGGUAUAUUGGCGUCCUUCUCAAGUGAAGGCAGAUUUAUCUUGCAACUCAGAUGCAAUAGGAAUUGAAAAGAUUGCAUUACCGCAUGCCACUCCCCAGCCGGUUUGGCAAUGUUUCCCACAAUGGUGGUAAUAUCAGGACAGCAGCACUCAGUGGUGGUGCUACCUUGUUGAGUCCCCGGUAAUCCACCGUCAUUCGCCAUCCAUCUUCUUCACAGGAAAUACUGGAGCAUUGAAUGGACUGAUAGCAGGACAAAUUACACCUGACUGUAAGAGCUUGGUGAUAAUGUCGCUAAUUUCUUGAUAACCUCCGGGCAACUGGUAUUGUUCAGCCUUACUGGGUUGCUUGGAGGAGGAACAAUGACAGGUGUCCAAUUUGCAUUCCCUUGCACAAUGUCUUUUACUGGUCUGAGAUGGUAUGACUUAUGAGGGAAUCCAAACGGGAAAACCCCCCACUGUGUCUCAAUACUCUGCCCUAGUAACACAUCUUUUCCCAAUAUAUUGUCUGGCAAUUCUGAAAUCAAAACUUUAGCAAUGAAUCUUGGUCCUUUAUUAAUUCACAUAGCCACAACAGUUUGUACUGCUUUGGUAAUUUUACCUCCUAAACCUUCUAUCCACGCCUUCUAUCCUUCAUGGAUUACCAUGAAGUACUGUGACUUCUGCUUCUGUGUCAACUAAAGCUAAAAUCUUUGUCGGUCCUGGUCUUGUCCCCCACCACACAGUCAAAGGUACAUAAGGGUGUCAGACCCCGGCGGUUAAAGGGGACACAUGUACCACCGGAGGCCUACCAUUCUGUCGUUGUACUACAGCACUGUCCCAAUCCAUCAAAUCCUGCCUCAUCAGAUCUUUUAAAGGAUACAAGGAUCUGACUUUACCAUCACUCUCUGGCAGUGCUUGUUUCUCAUUGGGUGUAGUAUGAGAGUAAGUCCUAGCACCAUAUUGUGUUGGAAAGAGUGAGGACAUUUGUGGGUAUGAAUGUGGGGAAGUUUUAUCUUUGGCUUGAGGUGAGGGCAGGGGCACAGCAUAAGGAGCACCAUUUUGGAACAGAGGUAUGGACAGAGAAGGUGUGUCUGUGGGCAUGAGAGGAGUGUUUUUUAAAUAACUAGGGGGAGGAGACUUUGGGACAAAUGUGGCAGAGGGCACGGUAUUGUCUGCUUGAGCCUAGCAUGCCAAAUGCACCUGUACCUUUUUAUUAGGCCUAUUUUCAAGUUCUAACCAUUUUUCAAACAUGGCAGGUGUUGAAAUUCCAUCAAUUUGUUCUCUAGGUACACCAGCAUCAAUCAAAUCAUUCCACAUUGCAAAUGUAUUACUCUCAGCCUUAUUUUACUCCUAAACUGUCCCUGCUUCUCUCUCUCUUUUGGUUCCACCAUCUCCUCCCUCAUCCUGUUACCAGCAAACACACCUUUCCUAGGGUUAGAUGCUAACUCUAAUUCCCCAAUUUCAGCUAAAUAAGUGGUGAGCUGAUCUACCUUUACAUUAUUCCCUAAACUACCCAGCAAAGAAAAUAAAUAUGACUUUAUGUCCUGUGGUGCACUUUUUAAAAACCGAGACCGCAUGUUGGUUGUGAAUUCCUCCAUGUCUGGGCCUUCCCUUGUUUAAUCCUGCCACACAACCCAAAAUGCUAAUGCGAGCAAAUAGCAUCCUUCAGUUUUGACCAGGGGAAAAUGGGCUCAAUGUCACUGCUAGAUGGGAAUGCCACAAUUAUGGCAUGCCGCACCAUAUCAAAUAAUGAAAAAUUUCCUCCAAUCUCCCUCACCUUCCAUAUUACCUGCAUGAGCGGUGGAUGCAGUGUCAAUUGCCCCAUACAUAAGGAUUCCCUUGCAUUCAACUGCAAACUGUCAGCUCCUCCAUCCCACAUGUGCAAUAACCAUUCUCCCACAUUUUCACCAAUUUCUUCCUUAUAAACCUUUGCCAGCUCCAAGAGCUAUGUUUGUGUGUAACUCUUUACCACGUCAUUUAUCUCUUCACUUAUCACUAUUUCUUAAUCCAUGCACACUAUCUUGCAGUCUCCUUUUCCGCUGCUAUGUACUGGUAGAACGGGUUGUCCACGUCAUUAUCAUCAUCAGAAAAGGAUACAUACUCAUCAAAGGAUGAGUGCAGCGGUGCUUCAGGAUCCCAUAUAAAGUUUGCAACCAUUGCUUGCACCUUACUUACAGGCACUGGCUUUUUUCAUUUAUUUGACCUCCUGCGGUUAAUCUUGCUUACCACUAAAGUAGUUUUCUUCUAGGGCAGCCACCUGGCAAACAUUACUAUGCAUACAUUCUUUAGUCAUAUCUAACAAAUCCCUUACAUCCUGCAACUCUUUCUCGAGUGCUUCAUUUCUCUGCACCUCACGGCUAAGGGCCUGCACAUCUAUCCACCCUGUGGUGGCAGCAGCUUCCUGCACCUUUUUUGCAGUAUACUUCCAGGUCUAACCAUAAUUCUUGAGCACCAGGUUCAGUACCAGCAUCAGGAUAGACAGGAGCUGCAUAUUUUAUCAGCUUCUCAGCAAUGGGUUUCAAACUUUCUAAACUGGCCCACAAUGGAAUUGUCCCAUACUUAGAUGGUUCCUUCCCUUCUGCUCUAUUACUUUUUUUAAAAAGAGUAUGCAUCUAUACUCUCAGGGGGAACACAAAAAUGCAAAUAUAACAAUCAAAGACAAUGCUUGUUAACUGUGUCUUUUCACUAUGCAACGUGAUUGUGCUAUAGGCUUAUUCACUAAACAUUAAACAUACACAAUUCAGAAGUUGUUACAUGAAUACCUUGUGUAGGGACAGAUCCUCUAAAUAAUUUAAACACCACCUAGUGGAUAAUCUCCUACAACCUAUAUACACAUACAUUACACAGUAUUUCAUUAAAAUAUUCUAUAUUUAGUGAUUGUGCAGUACCCUGUUCACAGCGCCAGUUGAAAUGGUAAAUUAAGUCAUUUCUUUAUAUUUAUGAAGUUCUGAAUUUCAUUAAUAUGGAAUAAUACCAAAAAUAAAAUAAUAAAAGGUAUACUGGUCAACUACAUAAAUAUUAGUGAAUAUCUUGAAUGAACACACAAGAGGCAAUGUUUUGGUGAAAGUAUAAACAAAACUUUACUGGGAAUACAAUUAUCAAGCACAAAAACAAAUACUUUAAAACACACCCUGCUAUUAACAAUACAAUCAGGUAAGAAAUCUACUUAGCUCUAUUCAUGGAUAUUCAGCAGCUUACAACGAAUAAUUGAAUCAGCAUAACACACAGAUAAAUGAGGUGAGUUCCUUGCCACAUGUUAAAUGGAUGUACAUGGGCACCUCUAAAGACACUUGGCUUCUUCUGACCCAGUCAUGAAAACUCUCUCUAGUUACUGGUAACACCUCCCAUCUAGUAUCCAGAUAGAACUAACAAUACCUAAUGGUCAUCUCUAGGAGGUGGAUACUACAUGUGGUCAUUUGUGAAAGGAAGUGAAUCAAAGACUCUCACUUCCUUCCUAAAGCACAUGGCUCAGUGACUAUGUGGCAGCCAUCUUUAUUCACUCUACUUCACAGUGCUCACUAGUAGACAUGUGAAAUUCGUUUCUUUUCGAAUGUAAAUUCAGACAAAUUUAAGCAAUUAGGACGCUUUGGAAUGUCCAAGUUGCAGAAUUACCGAAUUUCAGAAGUGCCGAACUGAAUUGCCGAAGCGCCAAAUUUCGGAAGUGCUGAAGUGCUUCAGAUUUCUGAAAAGUGGCAAAACAAGAGAGGGAGGGAAAAUUACGGAAAUUAUGACAGAAAUCUAACCCUACCCCUAUCCCUAACCCUACCCCUAGGGUUAGGGGUACAGGUUAGGAUUGGAGGUAAGGGUAUGGGUUAGGAGUUGAGGGUAGGGUUAGGGGUUAUGAUUGGGGGUAGGCAUAGGGUUAGGGGUUAGGAUUAGGGUUAGGGAACUGCCGAAGUCCCGAACCAAACCAAAUUUUUUGUCCAUGCACAUCCCUACUCACUAGGCCAUCUAUAGGUCAAUUCCUCCCUAAAGCACGUCUCAUUAAAUAUGCAGCAGCCAUCUUCUUGCUCUUAAUGUCACAUAUCUCACUAUGCCCCCUAUAGGUUUUAUAAGUUAUAGCACAUGAAUGGAAACACAGUAAUAGAACAUUUAUCAUUGCCCAUAAUAAAUACACUCACUAAAGUCAAGCUCAUUGACACACACAAGCUCACUACAGACAAGCUCACUAGAGACAAGCUCACUGCAGACAAACUUACUGAAACACAGGCUUACUACAGACAAACUUACUGAAACACAGGCUUACUACAGACAAGUUCACUGACACACACAAACUCACAGACACAUAAAAGUUCUCUUACACACAGAAGUUCACUGACCCACAAAGAAGCUCAUUGACACAAAGAAUCUCACUGGAACACACAGAAGCUCUGACUCACAUAAGCUCAUUAGAGACAAACUCACUGGCACACACAGGAGCUCUCUGACCCACACAAGAUCACUACAGACAAGCUCACUGAAACACACAAGCUUGCUACAGACAAUCUAACCGACACACACAGAAGCUGUCUUAUACAUAAGCUCACUACAGAAAGGUUGAUUAGAAGCUCAUUACAGACAAGCUUAACAACACACAAACUCACUACAAGCUCACCAACACAAACAAGCGCACUAACACAUACAGAAGCUCUCUGACCCAUACACAAGCUCACUAAAUACAAGCUCACUGACACACUCAAGCUCACUAAUACACACAAGCCAAACUGACUAUGCCGAGCUGGAAACAAAUAAAUAAGUGUUAUGUGCUGCACUUCCCUGUCUAUCCCCAUGGGCCAAUCCGGACCUGAUUUCCAUUAACUGUAAAGGCCAGACUUUAAAAUCUUCUUUGGUACAGUGCCUCUAAAAGAUUUGUCUACUGUGGAACUAUCUAAUAUGACACCUUAAAUUGAAUUGUCAUAUGACUAUCUUAUUACAAUAUCUUUACUAAUUGGAAGUACAAGCACAGUACUUUGUUUUAUGACAGUCUUCGUGUCUUUAUGACUUGCAAUGUUAUUUAAUUUACACCAAUGAUACUGUUAUACACAAGAUUUUCUGUACUGUCAAGAAAAGCUUAAUAAAAUAAAUUUAUAACCUAUAUCCCAACCUAUACUGUUGCUUAAUAUCAGCAAUAGGUCAGCAGAUUGGGAAGUGUACGAUUUUCAUCAUCAGGAUGCAUUUGCAGACACAGAAUUUUAAUACAUUUUCUGAUCUGGAUCCUGUUAUUUCUUAAAUCAUAGCAUUAUUCCCUGAUUGUGAUGUUGGCAAUGACCUGUAGAGAGAGGGAAAAAUUGGAAAAAAUAUGUACUCCCCUACUUUGGGAAAGGCACUUAUUGAGGAAAUUCUAAACCCUGUAAAUCAUUAGAUGACAGCAUUUCCAUAUAAUUGUUUAACCAAUUCAAAAAAAUUACAUCAUUCCUAUGAAUUUGGUUUGCAAAUAUAAAAAAAAAAUAAAAAAAAUCAUUAUCAAGAAUAAAAGAUCUCUGAAUUUUUGUGAUAACAUGACAUUACAUUGCUACAUAUUUCCCUUAUUGAGAUAAAUCAUUCUUCAUACUCUCUUCUUCAAGUUCGUGACUUUCUAUUCUCUUCUUUCAUUUUUAUUUGCAGAUACAGAGUUAGCUCACAUAACCAAUAAGCCUAACAAUUACAUGAAACAUUUGUAUAGACAAAUUACUGAUAUGUGCUCAAAGCCACGUACUUAAGCCCCUGGUAAAAGAAAGGGAGCAAAAAAAAAAAACCAGAACAAAACAUAUGUAUGUCUGUAUAUUAUAUCUAUUCUAUAUAGGUUUAAAUCUAUAUCUGCAUCCAUCUAUUUCUCAUUCUAUACAGUACAUUUGAUACACUUAUUAUGUGGUAUGUCAAUAACCCUUUUUGUCAAUCUUUUUUUUUUUUUUUUUUUUUACAAAUUUAAGCAAGCUACAUACAUUUGCAGACUGUGCACAUUGAAUAUAUCAAGAGCUUUUCAAAACUGCACGUUAUGGUAAGUAAAUUGUGCUAUGCAAAAAUGGGUUUGAGAAUCACUUCUGUUCUAAUUUAACUAUUCUUGUUUCAAUUAAAAAAAAAUAUAUAUAACUCUAAUCCACUUCAUUCAUACACUUAUGAAUAUCAAGUAUCAAUAUCAAGAUGAGUCACUCCAGCAGAAAUGAAUAUCAAUGUAAAAAAGCUAAAUGCAAUAAUAUACUUAAAGGACCACUAUAAGCACCCAGACCACUUCAGCUCAAUGAGGUGGCCUGGGUGCCAGGUCCCCCUAGUUUUAACCCUGCAACUGUAAACAUAGCAGUUUCAGAGAAACUGCUAUGUUUACAUUCAGGGUUAAUCCAGCCUCUAGUGGCUGUCUCCCUGACAGGCACUAGAGGUGCUUCCGUGAUCCUCAAUGCAAAAAUUGCAUUCCUAUGGGCAGUUUGAAUGCUUGCACAGCUCUGCAUGCGCAUUCUGAGAUGACGUUGGCAGGGGGAGGAGAGGUCACCAGCCCCGAGGGAGCCCAGCACUGGAUUAAGGUAAGUGGCUGAAGGGGUUUUAACCCCUUCAGCUCAGUGGGAGGGGGGCCUGAGGGUGAGGGGGGACCGAAUAACCCUAUAGUGCCAGGAAAACUAGUUUUCCUGGCACUAUAGUGCUCCUUUAACAUAAUUAAUGUCCAACCCAAUAAUUUUACAUUUGGCCCAGCAUACAAAUAGUCUUUAUUAAAAAUAUAAGCCUUUUAAACAACACAAUAUGGAUCCUGUAGCAAGAGGGAGGGUCAUCGUCUAUACUAUAUAAAGGCCACUUUAGUUAAUAGUUUCACAUACAGUAGCAGAACUACUGCUUGUGCAGCUGGUGUGCCUGCACUGGGGCCUGAAGGCUGAGAGGGCCUAUGGGGAAGCCCAUGCAUUUAGGGAUACCCAAUGGACAUGUCAUCAAGGGCCUGGUCAUGCGCUAUGGCUCUUAACAACGCAAACAGGCCCCUUUCAUACAGGCGAUCUGCGCUGGGAGGAAGUGAAAGCCUGUCUGAGCCAUGUGGGAGGGAGACGAGGAGAAGGCAGAGAGGAGGGGGGUGUACAGUGAGAGCCAGCCUCUGACUCCCAACAGCCUCAGCUAGCAGAAGACAUUGUCCUGCAACCCAAAGGUUUGAAACUGGAGGGUGGCUAACAUUUUGUAAAUUUUGUGUAUCUGUAUGUGUGUCAGUGUUUGUAUUUGUGUAUCUGUAUGUGUGCCAGUGAGUGUAUUUGUGUAUCUACAUGUGUGUUUCUUUGUGUAUCUGCAUGUAUAUCAGUGUGUAUCUGUCUGUGUAUAUGCAUGUGUGUCCGAGUGUGUAUUUGUAUGUGCAUGUGGAUCAGUAUAUGUGUAUGUGUUUAAACACGAGACUAUACACAAAUACACACCUGCAAUAAACUAAUCAACACUAAAUACAAACACAUGCCUGCAAUCAAACGUUAACACUACACACAAGCACACCUCUGUAUUUAUACGCCAACAUUUUAAUAGUGCAUUCAAAAACCAACACUACACACAAAUGCACAGCUAUAUUCAAAUGCCAACACUACAUACAAACACACAUCUAAAUUCACUAAUGUACAGGCGAUAUUCGAAAAAUGUGAACAUCGUGUUAUAUGUUAAUUUAUUUCACUAAUGCAACGUAAAAGGGGAAACUAAUAUAUGAGAUAGACUCAUUACAUGCAAAGCAAGAUAGUUCAAGCCAUGAUUUGUCAUAAGUGCAAUGAUUAUGGCUUACAGCUCAUAAAAAAAACCAAAUCCACAAUCUCAGUAAAUUAGAAUAUUGUGAAAAGGUGUAAUAUUCUAGACUCACAGUGUCCCACUCUAAUCAGCUAAGUAAGCCAUAACACCUGCAAAGGGUUUCUGUGCCUUUAAAUGGUCUCUCAGUCUGAUUUAGUAGGAAUCACAAUCAUGGGGAACACUGCUGACCUGACAGUUGUGCAGAAAACCAUCAUUGGCACCCUCCAUAAGGAGGGAAAGCCUCAAAAGGUAAUUGCGAAGGAAGUUGGAUGUUCCAAAGUGCUGUAUCAAAGCACAUUAAUAGAAAGUUAUGUGGAAGGGAAAAGUGUGGAAGAACCCGCUCCUGAACUACAAACAACAUCAGAAGCGUCUUACCUGAGUUAAAGAAAAACAGACCUGAUCUGUUGCUCAGUGGUCCAAAGUUCUCUUUUCUGAUGAGAGCAACUUUUGCAUCUCAUUUGGAAACAAAGUACCAAAAGUCUGGAGGAAGAAUGGAGAGGCACACACUCCAAGAUGCUUGAAGUCCAGUGUCAAGUUUCCACAGUCUGUGUUGAUUUGGGGAGCCAUGUCAUCUGCUGGUGUUGGUCCACUGUGCUUCCACUACCAGGAGAUUUUGGAGCACUUCAUGCUUCCUUACGCAGACGAGCAUUAUGGGGAUGCUGACUUCAUUUUCCAGCAGGACUUGGCAUCUGCCCACACUGCCAAAAGCACCAAAGCCUGGUUCAAUAACCAUGGGAUUACUGUGCUUGAUUGGCCAGCAAACUCGCCUGACCUGAACACCAUAGAGAAUCUAUGGGGCAUUGCCAAGAGAAAGAUGAGACAUGAGAAGGAUCCUUGUUUUCCAUAACACCUCAGCAGUGUCACAGGCUGAUAGCUUCCAUGCCUCACCGCAUUGAGGCAGUAAUUGCUGCAAAAGGGGCCCAAACCAAGUACUGAAUCCAUAUGCAUGCUUAUACUUUUCAGAGGUCAGAUAUUGUUCUAUGUACACUCCUUAUUUUAUUGAUUGCAUGUAAUAUUCUAAUUUACUGAGAUUGUGGAUUUGGGGUUUUCAUGAGCUGUAAGCCAUAAUCAUCGCCCUUAUGACAAAUCACGGCUUGAACUAUCUUGCUUUGCAUGUAAUUCAUCUAAUAUAUUAGUUCCCCUUUUACGUUGCAUUACUGAAAUAAAUGAACUUUUGCACGAUAUACUAAAUUUUCGAGUAUCACCUGUAUACUCCAUGCAAAAACAGGUUUACAUUCAAACACACAGAUACUGCUCAGUGCUAAAUACAAGCCAGCAAGGAUGGACAAAUGCUACAAUUAGUUUUCCAAACAGGAUUCUUAAAGAAACUUUGACUUCAGCUAUACAUGAAACAGUUCAGCAGUGAUCCUGUAUAUUUACCCGUGUUUGCCUGUUUUGCAGUGGGAGAUAGCCUGGGUCAAUAUAUACUUAUUAAAAGUUAUUUUUGUUAACUGUUUGGAGAAAAAGAAAAUUCUAUUUUAUUUAGUUUGUCUGACUGUGUUCAGUACAGUGUGUGCUGUGCAAGAAUUCAGCAAUCUUUCAUAAACUCAAACACAAUAAUGUUACAGCAGUAAAUCCAACAAACAUUAACACCUUUUGCAACACAAACACCUAUGUCUGCUAAAUAAAGUCAUGUUGCUCUAUACAAUUUUUUAUAUACCUUUCCUAAGUUAUUUUAAUAAGAAAAGCAAACACAGCAUCUUUGAUGUUGCAUUCUAAUCUUACGAAGAAAUUGAAAGAGGAUAAGGGAAGUGGUUGUGUUCCUCAAUCCACAAUCAACACCAUCUGAACACCUCUUUCUCCACCGCCGCCACAACCACCACUGUUAUUAGUAGCAGACUCAGGAUAAUGGAAUUAGCAGCAUGUCCAUUAAGUCCGAUUUACAACCCAGGAGGCAAUUGGAUUUUUCUCAACAUUUUCAUACUGCAACAAGUUCUGCUGCUACCACAAGCACAGCAGUUCCUUGUAGCACUACAGCUUAUGUGUCUUGUGGUGCUCAAAGCAAGGGAUCGAUGAAGCCAGUGGACCUUUUGGAUCAGUGAACCUCUACAUGUGUUACACACUGUUUUUAAAAGCCCCUCCCAAGAAGCAAUGAGAGAACUCAGCAGAGACUUUGUAAUUGACAUAAGAACCAUUAUUUACUGAAGAGGUAAAGUACGGUACCAAAGUGGUGUCCCCAAAGUCUGAUCUUGGUGGUGUUUAGGAAUAUAAUGAUGAUAUCACUCUUCCCCCCCCUCCCCCACUUCAGACAUUUGUUUGUCUUCCCAAGAAAAUUGACUAUGAUCCAAUAAUUAGAAAAGGAGAGUCAGAAGAGCGUUCACACACCGCUUUGUCUAAGCUUAUCUCUAUCUGCAUUAAAAUGACCUUAUUUAAUGGAAACAGUUAGAGAAUCAUGAAAACAGAGGGUAUAAGUGCUAACUAUAUUACAAUAAAGGCUGCGGUAUACAAUGCAAGGAUUCCCAAAGCCUUGUGUGAUAGAUAAAGAAUAGAGUGUGGUGACUUACUGCACCAUUGUAGUUUCUCUUGUUCUUUCUACCCUCUAUAUUCUGGAGGACCAACUACACUACAACCACCAUAUAUCCUUAGAUGGGGAUUGUACCGUCCAUGCGCUACACAGCAGAGCUCUAAUAAGCUCUAUUAUAUGGGAGUGGUUUUCUUAUAGCGAUUACCUAUACCAUUUGUAUUGUAUCAUAUUGUAUUGCACUAUAUUUGUCUUCUCUUUUUCCCUGAGGUUUACUGCAUUUUCCUGAAGGUUUAUGUAUGUAUAAUUUUUAAGGUGGAGUAUACGCCACACUCUAUUCUUUAGUUAGAGAAUCAUCCCCAAACAGUUCCAGAAGUAGCUCUCCCAAUGAGAUUAUUAUUAACAACACCACUUCCGUUCCCAUUGCAUUAGUCAACCAAGUGCAAGUGUAUAGGCUUCCUGGAAAAAAAGGAAAUUAAUUCUAAGCAACACACUCCAGACUCAAGUAGCAGCAGUGGUCAAGAAACUGACCAAUCUAUCAAUGCACAUGUGAGAGAACAAAUUGCCCUAAACUGAUACUUGUUUCCUGUUGUGAUCAUAGGGUUAAAGGGAAAGUGUCACUCCAAUUCAACAGCCUGAUAUACUGGAGGGAGAGAUUUAUUGCACAGUUAAAGUUUGCAGUGAAAGAGAAGCAUGCUGGUUGAGGAAGAUGUGUGUAUUGAACCUACCAUGUUGCCAUAGCUACCAUUCUCAAGAGCCACUCCAACAGCAUAACCCCAAGACACAGAAACAUAGAAACAUAGAAUGUGAACGCAGAUAAGGACCAUUCGGCCCAUCUAGUCUGCCCAAUUUUCUAAAUACUUUCAUUAGUCCCUAGCCUUAUUUUAUAGUUAGGAUAGCCUUAUGCCUAUCCCACGCAUGCUUAAACUCCUUUACUGUGUUAACCUCUACCACUUCAGCUGGAAGGCUAUUCCAUGCAUCCACUACCCUCUCAGUAAAGUAAUACUUCCUGAUAUUAUUUUUAAACCUUUGUCCCUCUAAUUUAAGACUAUGUCCUCUUGUUGUGGUAGUUUUUCUUCUUUUAAAUAUAGUCUCCUCCUUUACUGUGUUGAUUCCCUUUAUAUAUUUAAAUGUUUCUAUCAUAUCCCCCCUGUCUCGUCUUUCCUCCAAGCUAUACAUGUUAAGAUCCUUUAACCUUUCCUGGUAAGUUUUAUCCUGCUAUCCAUGAACCAGUUUAGUAGCCCUUCUCUGAACCCUCUCUAAGGUAUCAAUAUCCUUCUGAAGAUACGGUCUCCAGUACUGUGUACAAUACUCCAAGUGAGGUCUCACCAGUGUUCUGUACAAUGGCAUGAGCACUUCCCUCUUCUACUGCUAAUACCUCUCCCUAUACAACCAAGCAUUCUGCUAGCAUUUCCUGCUGCUCUAUUACAUUGUCUGCCUACCUUAAGUCAUCAGAAAUAAUCACCCCUAAAUCCCUUUCCUCAGAUGUUGAGGUUAGGACUCUAUCAAAUAUUCUGUACUCUGCCCUUGGGUUUUUACGUCCAAGAUGCAUUAUCUUGCACUUAUCCACAUUAAAAUGUCAGUUGCCACAAUUCUGACCAUUUUUCUAGUUUACCUAAAUCAUUUGUCAUUUGACUUAUCCCUCCUGGAACAUCAACCCUGUUACAUAUCUUAGUAUCAUCAGCAAAAAGACAUACCUUACCAUCAAGACCUUCUGCAAUAUCACUAAUAAAAAAUAUUAAAGAGAAUGGGUCCAAGUACAGAUCCCUGAGGUACCCCACUGGUGACAAGUCCAAGCUUCAAAUAUAUUCCAUUGACUACAACCCUCUGUUGCCUGUCACUCAGCCACUGCCUUACCCAUUCAACAAUAUUGGAAUCCAAACUUAAAGAUUGCAGUUCAUUGAUAAGCCUUCUAUGUGCAACAGUGUCAAAAGCCUUACUGAAAUCUAGGUAAGCAAUGUAUACUGCACCACCCUGAUCUAUAAUUUUAGUUACCCAAUCAAAAAAAUCAAUAAGAUUAGUUUGGCAUGAUCUCCCUGAAGUAAACCCAUGUUGUCUCUGAUCUUGAAAUCCAUGUGUUUUUAGAUGUUCAUCAAUCCUAUCCUUUAACAUGGUUACCAUCACUUUCCCCACUGAAGUAAGGCUUACUGGCCUAUAGUUGCCCAACUCCUCCCUAUUACCUUUCUUUACCAAUCUUCUGGGACUACUCCUGUUAACAAGGAUUGGUUAAAUAAAUAUGUUAAUGGUUUUGCUUGUACACCACUAAGCUCUUUUAAUAGCUUUGGGUGUAUUCCAUCAGGUCCCAUUGACUUAUUUGUCUUUACUUUUGACAGUUGAAAUAGAACCUCUUCCUCUGUAAACUCACGUGUAAUAAAUGACUAAUUUAUCCUUUUUCUCAACUGAGGUUCCUUUCCUUCAUUUUCAUCUGUAAAUAUAGAAUAAAAAUAUUCAUUGAUGCAGUCAGCUAGACCUUUAUCCUCUUCUACAUACCUUCCUUCUUUUGUUUUUAAUCUAACUAAUCCUUGUUUUACUUUUCUUUUCUUUUCUUUUCUCAUUUAUGUAUCUAAAAAAUGUUUUAUCCCCCUUUUUUACUGACUGUGCUAUUUUCUCUUCUGUGUGUGAUUUGGAAGCUCUUAGAACUUGCUUAGCCUCUUUCUCCCUAAUCUUAUAGAUCAUUUUGUCUUCCUCACUCUGGGUUUUUUUUAUAAUUCCUAAAUGCUAACUUUUUGUUUUUAACUAUUUUGGCCACAUCUGUGGAGUACCACAGUGGUUUCUUGAAUUUUUUGCUUUUACUGACAAGCCUAAUGCAAUUUUCUGUUGCCUUCAAUAGUGCAACUGUUAAAUAAUCACAUUUAUCUUGGACUCCAUUUAAAUUGCUCCAGUCUGAUAAUGACUCCUCUACCCAUAUUCUAAUUUUAGAAAAGUCUGUUUUUCUAAAGUCUAAAACUUUUGUUUUUGUUUGGUGUGACUCAGUCACUGUUCUUAUAUUAAACCACACUGACUGAUCACUGGAUCCUAAACUUUCACCUACAGUAAUAUCUGAUACCAAGUCUCCAUUUGUUAACACUAAAUCUAGUAUGGCCUCUUUACGAGUUGGCUCCUCAACAACUUGUUUUAGAGACAAUCUCAGUAGACAGCAGAUUGGAGCAGUGAAGUAGAGACUUAAUCUUGUUGGUGUAAGCAAGUAAAGCAUCAAGCAGUUCAAUGGAGAGUAGAGCUCAUGCCUUACCUGCCUGAACCUUAUUUGCUUCCUACUGAGGAACCUCUGAGCUACUGGGUUGAGAAAAAGAAUAUGUUGCCUGUUAGGCUAUAAGACUUGUACAGGGUCUGUAACCCUUACGCUGCCAUGGACUUAUGCUGGUAACACAUCCUGCUUUCCUUAAUCUUUUUUAUGUUCACUGCAGAGAACAUACAUGUACACCAGUCAUUAUGGAGUUCCAGAAAAAUAAUGCUUUUUUUUAAUGCGGGUACAGCAUAUAUAUGACACAAACACAGUUUUCAUAGUGGUGUAUCUAACAGAAGACAAAAUCAACUAAUCAUGGACGUGCAGUGCAAAAAGUAUAAUUUCUCCUAUAACAUUACGUAUUACAGUUAUUCUACUGUGUAUGCCUAGCACGUCUUCUCGAAACUAUGCAGGGUUAUCUUGUGAGAGAAAAAGGGGAGUAUGUGUGCUUGCAAGAUAGCAGACAGGGGAUAGAAUUCUUGCUUUUAACCCCUGCAGACGUGGAAAGACUAAGGCAAAGGCGUUGUAGCCCUUUAUUUACCUGUAUCUAUGACAAGUCCCUUUUUCUCUGGUACUGCAGAUGAGUUAGGCAAGGUUUCUCCAGAUGUACUAAUUACACCUGUUGGCCUUUUUAUUGAUUCUUCACCUUGAUUGCCUUGCCAUUUCUCACCAAAAGAGCCAUCAAGGGAAGCUUGCCCAGAUUUCUGUUGCUGCAGAAUAAUAUAUGUUAUUAAAUCCACGUCCCAGUAUGCAAUACAUCCAUAAGUUACUGUAUAUAUUUAUAGAUCGUAUGUUUAGGGGAAUAUUCACUAAGCAUUGCAUAGGUAAAAUAAUUCAUUUUCCAUCUGUAACGGAUCACCUGGCACCGCGACUGAGUACCUCCGUUAAAGGAUGCUCCUAGCGUUUCCUGAGGACUCCAAGCACUCUGGCAGACACCACAAUCACCGAACCGGAGAAGCAUAUGAGUACUUUUAAGCAUGUGAAUGUUGUAUACAGCCGAAUAGGAAAAACCAUGCGAAUGGGUUUACACUCCUAGCAGUCAAACUGGAACAGCAUACAAUAAAUCCUCCCCCAAUAACGAGACAACACUUCACUUUGAGGUUUAGGCAGGAACUGACUGUACUGGCACAUACAGCCUCUUUUAUUCCCAAUCCACAAACUUAGUACUGCCCACAGGGUUUUACAGAACAACCAAUAACACACGUACAUUACAGAAAACACUCCCAGCAAUUAUACACAAAAUCCUCCCCUCUGUGAUAUAAUUAUGUUACACAAUGGGUUAACAUAAUUAUUACAAGCAGGAAAAAUACAGUUUUUAUACAUGUGCUAACUUUAAAAAUAUAUGUCCAAUCUUCAUAAAAAUUACAUAUUCAGAAUCCGCAUGCUUGAAAUAUACACAUAUUCAAAAAUCAGGGCAAUCGGUUCAGGGGUUAAAAAGUUAAGGGAAAGUCCUAUUUGACCAAAUGAAGCAUGGUUUUUCUGCCCAAAACCAGUUCCACAGAGUCUUCUAUCCUGGAGAUAAUUGGGAAGUAGUGAUGUCCCGAACGGUUCGCCGAACGGUUCGCCAUGGACUCAUCAUUGAGUAAACUUUGACCUGUACCUCACAGUCAGCAGACACAUUCCAGCCAAUCAGCAGCAGACCCUCCCUCCCAGACCCUCCCACCUCCUGGACAGCUCACUAAGAAUGCAGCUUCACAAUGAAUGUAAAAUGGAUGCUAUCCAGGAGGUGGGAGGGUCUGGGAGGGAGGGUAUGCUGCUGAUUGGCUGGAAUGUGUCUGCUGACUGUGAGGUACAGGGUCAAAGUUUACUCAAUGAUGAGUCCGUGGCGAACCGUUCGGGACAUCACUAUCUCCAAGGACAGAGGCAAAACGCCAUUAAGCACAUGGCAGUAAAAAGACAGUAAAAUACAAUAAAAUACACAAGGUUACAUUUAUUGCAUAAAAUACAAACGUGCAACAUAUCCCCAGAUAGCUUAGAUAUGAGCGCAAAUUAUUAAUGAAUGGCGCUCAGAUUGCAUACAUACAGUUCAAUUGCCAUGGAGCCAAAGUCUUUCAUAUAGUCUUUCGUUAUACGAAUGGGCUCCAUGGCAUAGCUAUCUGGGGUAACACUGCUCACAUAGGUAAAGUACCGGAUGACCCGGUUUUCGGGUCUUUGCAGGGGAAAAUCAAGCAUUUCAACAUGGGGCCAUAGUCACAGGGCAGGAGGCUGGCAAUCAGUCUUCUCCAAUACCCAGUGGCGAGGUCGGUUUCGCCACACCAUCAUUGCCUGUUCUGUGUGUGGUUGCCCAGCAACCAUUGCCAUGUCCACUGAUCACUGUCUAAAGUGAUUAACUGUGUUUUCUUACAGGGAACAUUCUGAAUGCUCAACACUUACAAAUGUAUCCACAACUGAUGGGGUGAUUAAACCAGAGGAAGGCUAUUUUCUCCAACUUGGUUUAUCUCUUCAAACUCAUCUGCUAGCUGAGAUUCAAUUAACC